UACGGAAGGGGCAAGCGUUGUUCGGAAUCAUUGGGCGUAAAGGGCGCGUAGGUGGUUCUGUAUGUCUACCGUGAAAGCGUACGGCUCAACCGUAUUUUGUCGGUGGAAACUGCAGGACUUGAGGCUGGGAGGGGCUGGUAGAAUUCCCUGUGUAGCAGUGAAAUGCGUAGAGAUCAUGAGGAAGACCAGUGGCGAAGGCGGGUCUCUGGACAGUUCCUGACACUGAGACACGAAGGCCAGGGGAGCAAACGGG
rnacentral:rRNA from 1 species